UGGGGAAUAUUGGACAAUGGGCGAAAGCCUGAUCCAGCCAUGCCGCGUGUGUGAAGAAGGUCUUCGGAUUGUAAAGCACUUUAAGUUGGGAGGAAGGGCAGUAAGUUAAUACCUUGCUGUUUUGACGUUACCGACAGAAUAAGCACCGGCUAACUCUGUGCCAGCAGCCGCGGUAAUACAGAGGGUGCAAGCGUUAAUCGGAAUUACUGGGCGUAAAGCGCGCGUAGGUGGUUCGUUAAGUUGGAUGUGAAAGCCCCGGGCUCAACCUGGGAACUGCAUCCAAAACUGGCGAGCUAGAGUACGGUAGAGGGUGGUGGAAUUUCCUGUGUAGCGGUGAAAUGCGUAGAUAUAGGAAGGAACACCAGUGGCGAAGGCGACCACCUGGACUGAUACUGACACUGAGGUGCGAAAGCGUGGGGAGCAAACAGG
rnacentral:rRNA from 2 species